UACGGAGGGGGCUAGCGUUGUUCGGAAUUACUGGGCGUAAAGCGUACGUAGGCGGCUUUGUAAGUUAGAGGUGAAAGCCCGGGGCUCAACUCCGGAAUUGCCUUUAAGACUGCAUCGCUUGAAUCAUGGAGAGGUUAGUGGAAUUCCGAGUGUAGAGGUGAAAUUCGUAGAUAUUAGGAAGAACACCAGUGGCGAAGGCGGCUCACUGGUCCGGUACUGACGCUGAGGUGCGAAAGCGUGGGGAGCAAACAGG
rnacentral:rRNA from 1 species